GCAAACUUGGUCAUUUAGAGGAAGUAAAAGUCGUAACAAGGUUUCCGUAGGUGAACCUGCGGAAGGAUCAUUACCAAUUGAGCUCCGGACGGUCCACGACCUCCGAGCCAACCAGGAGCCCCACCCCGCCCUGCGGGAAGGGGAACACUGGGUUAACCCUUUGUGAACCAAAAAAACCUUUCGCUUCGGCAGCUGGGCCUGACCGCUCAUAAGCCUGCCGCUGGCACCAAAACACAAACCUGAUGUCAAAACUUAUGUCUGAUAACCAAAUUUUCGAAUGAAAAUCAAAACUUUCAACAACGGAUCUCUUGGUUCCCGCAUCGAUGAAGAACGCAGC
rnacentral:misc_RNA from 1 species